AUGCAAACAAAUGACCCGAGCACAUAUUUUAAAGCUAGAACAAUACAGAGAGGUUUAUCAUGGCCCUUGUGUUAAGAUGACACAUAAAUUUAUAAAGGGUUCCAUAUUUUG